ensembl:lncRNA
AGCAGGGCUGAGACAGGGCCGCGGCAGGCCCGGAGGGGGCCGGCAGCUGCCCGGGGAUGGCUCUGGCUGCGGGAACCGGCCCCAGGCAGGGCCAGGGCAGGCCCCGGGUGCCCUCGUAGCAGGGCCUGCAGCGGGGAGCCUCCCUUCCUCUCACCUUCGCCACUCUGGACAGGGUCCACCACUAACCUGGGGAGGGGAAGGGAAUAGUCUCUGCGGUAGAAAAUAAAAGCGAUUAGAAGCCACAGAGGAUUAUUGAUCCAUGAUAAUUGAUCCAUUGUCUGCCAAUAAAAGAGGACUAAGUGGGAGCUCAUAUUUUUGGAGCAGGGGAGUAAGCUCCAGUGUUAUCUCAUGAGUUGCAUGAAAAAAGCUGUUUGUAAGAUGACAGAGAGGAUGGCUAGUACCUGCUCUGCUAGUGGUAAAAGCAGGUAUGGCCAGAGGUGAAAGACUGAGUAUUGUGACCAGAGAAAAGACAGUAACAGGAAUCAAGACACAGCAGGGAAUGAGUCAAGUUGCAGAAAUUCAAAAUCACAGAAAAAAAUCAAUCUGGCCACAUUAAAUGGAGCUGAGAAGACAAGGGAGACAGUUGAACUUGCAUAUCAGCAGCAGCAUCUGGGAAAGUGGGUCAAAUGGAGGAUUAGCAGUAUGAAAGUGAAGGCAGUCGAAGCAGGCAUCAUACUCGCAAGAGGAGACAGGAGUGGAGCUGGACAGGUGAAAACAAAAGGUGUGCUGAGGGAGUGGAUUCCCCUCCAAGUAAUGAAGAAGGUGCUCUGUCGGGAGGCAGUACACUUAUUACACACAGCUUGCAUCUCUGAGGAAAUCAAAUGUGAGGUCAGAUCUCCACAUUUGACAGUUUCCCUGUGCCAAACUGACAUCAACAUGAGUAAUGAAGCAUGUCACGGUGUUGAUGAAUUGUUGACAGAACAGAAAACUGGAGGGACUACUCCUGUGGCAAGAUAUAUGUUGUUUUGACAUCAAAGUGCAGCUAGGGAAGAUGUCUCGACACAGGGCUCCUUUGGGUAUUGGGCACAACUCAGCACUGCAACUUCUCUCCUGCUUUCUGUCCACAUGCAAAUAACUAGGGAGUAACCCUAAUCUGCGGACCAUUUGCUUCUGUCACAAGGGAUCAUGGACAAAGAAAGAGGCCAGCUGCAUAAAUGCAGGAGGUGCAAUUUUCACAUGUCAAUUCUCUGAAAUGUCAAAUAAUGGACUGUCUGUCCUGCCAUUCUGGACAGGUAGGCAACACCAACACAGUCCUAAGGGUAAAUCCCAAGUCAAUUGGUAAUAGAAAGGCAUUGGGGAAAAAAAAAAAUCCUCAGAACAAAAAUUUGCAUAAUAAUAAUCUUCCUUUUAUUUCCUUUGAGCUUCUUGAUAGUGAUUCUGACAUCUCCAGAAACAAAACAGAUGAACUACUGGAAUAGGGAGAGGUAGGAGUCAUCAGCAAAAUCUUGCCCUAUACAGGGUUAACACAGCCUGCUCUUGAUGACCUCAGUUAUACAGAUCUCCUCACAUAUUGCCACUUAGAUCCUUUCCCCAUGACAUUGUCACAACAUAUUAAAGCCCCCAUCCUGCAAACACUUCAUGCAUGUGGGUAGUCAGAGUUAAUCACAUGCAUGAGUGUUUGCAGGACAGCAGCCUGAGAGAUUAAAAUCUAGAAGAGCAGCCAUAUAAAAUGACCUAUUUUGAACAGGAAGAGAAAGGGACUCAAUAGAAGUUCUUUAUACCUUACUUGGAUUUAAUGCUGUAAGAUAUAUUAUGUCUUACAUUUUUACAAAACCUCUUUCUUUCCUAUACCACCAUAUCUAAAAAGGCAGAAAAAGCUGAAAUAUGAAACUGGCACUUUGCCAACACUUGAAAUCUGUUGAUGUGGCCAUGACAGGGAAACCCAGACACAGGAACAGCUGUCUGGCGCAGGAGUGUCCUCGACUUGCUCAUUAAUUGAAUUCCCAAAAAAACAUUUGUCACAUGUUCAGAAAAUUAGAAGUUGUGAUUCUGGAAUAGUAACACAAUAAAAAAUUUGGCUUCAACA